rnacentral:rRNA from 1 species
UGGAAGUAAAAGUCGUAACAAGGUCUCCGUUGGUGAACCAGCGGAGGGAUCAUUACCGAGUUUACAACUCCCAAACCCAAUGUGAACGUUACCAAACUGUUGCCUCGGCGGGGUCACGCCCCGGGUGCGUAAAAGCCCCGGAACCAGGCGCCCGCCGGAGGAACCAACCAAACUCUUUCUGUAGUCCCCUCGCGGACGUAUUUCUUACAGCUCUGAGCAAAAAUUCAAAAUGAAUCAAAACUUUCAACAACGGAUCUCUUGGUUCUGGCAUCGAUGAAGAACGCAGCGAAAUGCGAUAAGUAAUGUGAAUUGCAGAAUUCAGUGAAUCAUCGAAUCUUUGAACGCACAUUGCGCCCGCCAGUAUUCUGGCGGGCAUGCCUGUCCGAGCGUCAUUUCAACCCUCGAACCCCUCCGGGGGAUCGGCGUUGGGGAUCGGGACCCCUCACCGGGUGCCGGCCCUGAAAUACAGUGGCGGUCUCGCCGCAGCCUCUCCUGCGCAGUAGUUUGCACAACUCGCACCGGGAGCGCGGCGCGUCCACGUCCGUAAAACACCCAACUUCUGAAAUGUUGACCUCGGAUCAGGUAGGAAUACCCGCUGAACUUAAGCAUAUCAAUAAGCGGAGGA